rnacentral:lncRNA from 1 species
GGAUUUUGCAAACGAGGUCGCGUGCAACUUUAGAAACUCCUGUGCUGCCGGCGCGGAGCGGGGCGUGGGAGAGUGUGUACUGAGGAGCGCUAGGCAGAGAGCGCGUGUGCCUGAUCCGGCGUACAUAGAAAUACGCGCUUUCCACCGUUGUCAAGAGGAAGGACUCUGGGAAAAGGGCAGGAAGUAACUGCUAAGGUGUUAAAAGUGUGCAAAUGAGUGGGCAAGAUGUGAAUGGAAUAAGGAAGUGGAGUUGCUCAGCCUAUGGGGAGCUGAGGGAGGGCCACAUCUAGGAAGAUGCAGCAGACCAGGGUGGGGCUCAGGGGCCCCCAUAGAGUCGGGCCCGGAGUUUCGUUUUGUAACACAUCCCCUGUAGGCGGCCUUUCCCCAACUAGUCUGCGGGAAUCCCCUUCUGUGUGGCCAGGCCUAGCUCCCCCAGGAGCUUUGGAACCAGGCAAUCAGUGUUUGCGGCACUCAGUAAUUAAACGUGUGGCCCAGAGGUCAUGAGCUGGAGGCAGUGCUGGGUGGGGUCCCUGGUGGUGACUGCAGGAAUGGCACCCUCAUCCAAGUCCCCUACCCUGGAUUCCCAAGCCUCCUGUGCACACACUCCUGGAGAGAGACAGAUGUACCGAGACAGGGACCAGGCCGGCUGCAGCCCCUCGGGCUCUGCCCUAGAAGAAGGAUGAUCAACCACCCUGGUUUGCCCACAGCUGAGGAUGGCGUGGCACAUGCCCUCCCUCCAUCUCCCAGGUGUCCCGAGGGGAGUAGCCAGCAGCGAGAGGGCCUGCGACCUGUGCCUUCCAAGGAAAAGUCAGAGAAAUGGGAAGAGAAGACUCGGGACGGGAAGUGUCUUCAGUUGUCUGAGGCUGUCAUGGGGGGAAGGGAGGCACUCAUUCCAAGGGAUCCUUGGCAUAGAAGUGGGACCAGUGGGACCCGUUGAGUGUGAGUUGAGCUCCCUGAAGCAGCACGGAGCUGUGGAACAUUUGAUUCAGAGUCAAGAUUGCUGGGAAGAUGGCAGCAUAGGAGGACUCUGAACUCACCUCCUCCCAUGGACACAGCAAAUUUACAACUGGCUGUGGAACAAUUCCCUCUGAGAGAGAACUGGAAACUGGAUAAGAAGAACCCCCACAACAAGGGACAAGACUGACCGACAGGUGGAAGAGGCAGAAAUACCUUUCUGGAGAGGGAAAAACCACAUUCCAGCCAUGGUGCUUCACAGCCAGGAGCAAUCUUAAGGUAGGGAGAUUUCCUGGAGGAGAGGGGGUCUGAGCGGGAGAGCUUUACCACAAUAGGCGGCCUCUGAAUUUAGCACAACCGAGACAAGUACCAUAGCGCCUGGCUUUGCUGGCUACUAAAACCAACCAGGAAGAUCCCCUGAAAAGCUGUUGCACAUAAGAGACAGAGUGAGAAUAUGGGGGGUAGGUCACAUGCCAGCCCCACCACGUGCAAACCAACUCCGAAUGAGGACACUGGAAACUCUGAUUACCCUCUCAGGACACCAAUGCCAUCUGUGAAAUGGGACCCUUCCAGGUAACUAAAUGAAAUUAUCAAGCACGGUGCCCAGAACACAGCAGGUGCUAAGUAACUGUGAGUUGAGUCUGCUCAUAGCUGACACACGUCUGUCCGGUCCACCAGGGAAUGCACCAAGACCCACUGCACGUGGGGCGAGACCUCAGAGACCACCAGCACCACUUCCCUUACCUCACAGCCCAGGCCUGGCCCUGUGCCUGGCAUCCACCCUCCCAAGACAUUUGUCCUCUCGCUGAUUUUCUCCCCAAAACUUUUUGCAGCUACCUGUUGAUGCUACGAGGCAGGCUGGGUGGAUGUUCACAGGCUCAGUUAUGAAUGAGAAAAGAGGUCAGGAUGUUUUCCCCAGGCCACUGAGGAUGACAGUGGUGACUCACAGGGUGCCAGAGCUGGGAGGAUCUGUGACACCAUUAGGUCCACCCCUCGUGAAUGGCCAUCUUGCCCAGGGUUGGAUAUUUACAUUUUGUGCCCUUUUCGACAUGUGUGUCAUAUUGCACAAUAAAACGUUUUUUAAAAAGAAA